GACGAACGCUGGCGGCGUGCUUAACACAUGCAAGUCGAACGGAAAGACCCCUUUGGGGGUACUCGAGUGGCGAACGGGUGAGUAACACGUGAGUAACCUGCCCUUGACUUCGGGAUAACUUCAGGAAACUGGGGCUAAUACCGGAUAGGAAUCCUUGCUGCAUGGUGGGGGUUGGAAAGCUUCGGCGGUUUUGGAUGGACUCGCGGCUUAUCAGCUUGUUGGUGGGGUAGUGGCUUACCAAGGCUUUGACGGGUAGCCGGCCUGAGAGGGCGACCGGCCACAUUGGGACUGAGAUACGGCCCAGCCUCCUACGGGAGGCAGCAGUGGGGAAUAUUGCACAAUGGGCGGAAGCCUGAUGCAGCAACGCCGCGUGCGGGAUGACGGCCUUCGGGUUGUAAACCGCUUUCAGCAGGGGCGAAGCUUGUGGUGACGGUACCUGCAGAAGAAGCACCGGCUAACUACGUG
rnacentral:rRNA from 1 species